rnacentral:tRNA from 1 species
GGGAACGUAGUAUAACCCGGCAGUAUAGUUGGCUCCAGACCAUCGGAUCCAGGUUCAAAUCCUGGCGUUCCCA